GACGAACGCUGGCGGCGUGCUUAACACAUGCAAGUCGAACGAAGAGCGAUGGAAGCUUGCUUCUAUCAAUCUUAGUGGCGAACGGGUGAGUAACGCGUAAUCAACCCGCCCUUCAGAGGGGGACAACAGUUGGAAACGACUGCUAAUACCGCAUACGAUCUAACCUCGGCAUCGAGGAAAGAUGAAAGGUGGCCUCUAUUUAUAAGCUAUCACUGAAGGAGGGGAUUGCGUCUGAUUAGCUAGUUGGAGGGGUAACGGCCCACCAAGGCGAUGAUCAGUAGCCGGUCUGAGAGGAUGAACGGCCACAUUGGGACUGAGACACGGCCCAGACUCCUACGGGAGGCAGCAGUGGGGAAUCUUCCGCAAUGGACGAAAGUCUGACGGAGCAACGCCGCGUGAGUGAUGACCGGCUCGGGUUGUAAAGCUCUGUUAAUCGGGACGAAAGGCCUUCUUGCGAAUAGUUAGAAGGAUUGACGUACCGGAAUAGAAACCACG
rnacentral:rRNA from 1 species